GGAGACAGACAAGCAACAAACAAGCGCCACCCAGCGAGAGAAGUUCUGUGACACAGUUGAGCACAAGAGGCGACAAGGGAGAAUUUCUGGAAGAGAGACUAUUUUGUAGCUCAGCCUUGAAGACACACAGAGUAUUGGAUGAAGAAAGCGUGGAAUGAGACAGGAUUUCCAGGCUAGACAAUAGCCUAGGCAAAGAAAGGAGUUGGGCCUUUGUUAUUUGAGGUUCAGAGAGCUGAGAGCACAUCACAAGAAGGACAGGUGUGACCAUAGGAACCAGCUGCUUCUUCUCACAGUGACACUAGGAAGAAAAUGACUUAAAUGACCUACCGGAGGUCCAGGACGUCCAGGUUCACCCAUCUCUCCCUUGUCUCCUUUCUCCCCCUGGAAAUCCUGUCGUAAGCACAGUUCAAGGUCAUUAUCACAAACCAAGCGAAUGAGAUUCGAGGAGCCGAAUUUGGAAAUACCCUCUGUCCAGUGAGACUAGGUGUGAAAACCAAGACUGGGCCCCAAGACGACAGCAGCGCACUGGCUUUUCCUGUGUCUCAUCUUUCACAUUGUACACAGGAGCUUACAUUAACACUGUUGCAAUCUUUAAAAGAAAAAGUAUCCUUUGUGCAUCCCCAGGAGAAAUAUUCUUUGUCAGUUACUAUUACAUCUGCCAGCCAAUAAAGGUGCAAGAUCAGAGUUCUUCUAAAACUCAGUUUCU